UUCUACCAAAUAUUUAUUUUUUUAACUUUAAAAUAUUAAAAUAUUUUAUUAUUAAUUGAUAUGCACUUUUUUUUUUUUUUUGAAGAUUUGGAGUCAGAGCCCAGCAAAUCCUUGCUCUUGCAUUUCCUGCCUGUGUGACUUUGAGCAAGCCACUCAAACACUCUGAGCUUUGGUUUCACCAUCUACAAGAUCUGGGAAAAUGCUUAUCACAGUAAGAAUCGCAUGAGCUCAUGGAUUGUUAUGGGAAUGCGAGCAGAUGUUUUAAAAAUGCAAUAAAAUACUGCGCAGACCUCACAUGCUGUUUCUGUGACACCCGGUCCCGUGAAGAGGUAAAGCUAUCGAUUGAAUGUCAAAAUGAUGGUUCAAAGACAACAACAGCAGAAGAGGCACUCCCUUGAGAGCUACAACCCUGGAUCCCAUAAGGGUAAGUCUAGGGGCAUACCUUCUGGGCUUAAGAGGGAGUUGUGUUCCACUUGGAGAAGCCAAAGACUC
rnacentral:lncRNA from 1 species